GUAUUCACAUCCGCGAAAAUAUGGACAAGGAUCUAGGUCUUGUCGUGCUUGCGCAAAUAGACAUGGAUUAAUUCGCAAAUAUGGUUUAAAUAUUUGUCGACAAUGCUUUAGAGAAUAUGCUGCUGAUAUUGGUUUUAAAAAGUUGGAUUAAUAUUGCAACAAUUCCUAAAUUCAUUCAAAUGUGAAUCCCAUAUAACACAUUAAUUGAUGAAAUUCAAUUUUUAUUGACAACAUUAUUUUGAAAAAUUAAAUUAUGUUGUAUUCUAUAUAAUUAUAAUAAUAAAAAUAAUUAUUUUAUGAAA